rnacentral:rRNA from 1 species
UAGGGAAUCUUCGGCAAUGGACGAAAGUCUGACCGAGCAACGCCGCGUGAGUGAAGAAGGUUUUCGGAUCGUAAAACUCUGUUGUUAGAGAAGAACAAGGACGUUAGUAACUGAACGUCCCCUGACGGUAUCUAACCAGAAAGCCACGGCUAACUACGUGCCAGCAGCCGCGGUAAUACGUAGGUGGCAAGCGUUGUCCGGAUUUAUUGGGCGUAAAGCGAGCGCAGGCGGUUUCUUAAGUCUGAUGUGAAAGCCCCCGGCUCAACCGGGGAGGGUCAUUGGAAACUGGGAGACUUGAGUGCAGAAGAGGAGAGUGGAAUUCCAUGUGUAGCGGUGAAAUGCGUAGAUAUAUGGAGGAACAACAGUGGCGAAGGCGGCUCUCUGGUCUGUAACGGACGCUGAGGCUCGAAAGCGUGGGGAGCAAACAGG